rnacentral:lncRNA from 1 species
CGGUCAACAGCGGAAGUCCUCAGCUCAGCUAGAGACAGUAUUCCAGCUGCAGUCUGUUACCAGUGUUCUUCAGUCCCUCCUUUUCUCUGUGCCAGCACAGACAGACGGAGCUAAGUGACAAGGGUCUGCGCCACCCCAGGUCGCAGUCACUCGUGCUCUCACUGCCCGUGCAGAUGGGGAUGCGAGGCAAGAGAGCUCCUGCAGAGGGAAUCAUUCAGGAGUCGUGUAUUGCUGGAUUGACAGCAGCUCCAAAACUGAGCGGAAGCAAGUGAGAACCAUAGCAGGAAUUCGACAAAACUAGAAAGCGACAGGACUUGAAUCUGGGAUGUUCUCCACAGGCUCAGGCUCCAACUUGUGCUGUUUCCUGG